rnacentral:rRNA from 2 species
GGUUGACCUCGGAUCAGGUAGGAAUACCCGCUGAACUUAAGCAUAUCAAAAGGCCGGAGGA